rnacentral:lncRNA from 1 species
CUACAAUGGUAGUUUCCCACUCUUCUCAGGAGGCUUCGUUCAUUCUCCAUGACCAUCUGAUUCCACAAAUAUAGCUAUAAUUGUUGGUCGUUGGGGAGUCUUAAUUCUUACCUUACUAAUUACUUGCUCAAUAUAGUCGAGGAGACAUAAGAAACAUCUGUAUUACAUGAGCCCCAGACAUGGGCACAUAAGAGUGUUUAGUCAAUAAAAUAAUAACUUUGAUUUCUCAAUUUUAUACAAUAUUUCUAAAAGAAUAAUUCUGGUUAUGUGCAAUAUUUUUUUGGCUUUCAGGUGCAGAGAUGUACUUCCAAACUUUCAAACGGUGGAAUAGUCCCCAGCCUAUUGAACAAAUUCUUAGGAUUUCUCCACCAUGGGAGAUGACUGGGACCUAUUAUGUGAAUACAAACAUAGGUUGGGACGAGUUUCACAGAGGCAUUGAAAGGUAGUGAUGUUUUAUGCGAAAUAUUCUAACAGGUAGCGAUAUUUUAUCACGUGUUCCAUUUCAGGCAAAAAAAGGGAUUAACAGCUCCAGUUCAAGAUGCAGGAUUUGGAAAAUGAGUUUUAUUUUUUUUUGAUAAUAAUUUACUGUGGCUAUUAAUGGCAGAUGAUAGCAUGUGUCGAAUCCACAGCUAGAAAAUGGAAAAUGCAUCACGCGAUGAUGAACAGUGGACUUGAAACAAUAAACACACUCCAUUUCAGAAACAAUUACGAUUUUAGACGCUCCAUUUCAGAUUCACGAACUCGAAACAUUUCGUUGUGUUUGCUUGAUUUGUUCGAUUAAUCUUGAUCCUUGCUAAUUUUAUUUGUUAAUGUUUUUUUUAAUAUGUGAAAUAACCUGGUUACAGCGAGAAGAAGGGACCUAAAAUUAGUGAGACGAUUUUACCUUUCAUAUUCGAAAGUAAAACUGUGUCCAUGUGCGAAGUUAUCGGUGGAGCAGACAGCAAAUGGAUGGAAGGAUGAUUUUCGCAAUGAAAUGUGUAAGACUUUCUGUGAUAAUAACCUUGUACAAAUAGCCGAACGAAGUUUGUACGUUUUCAUUAAUUUUGAUAAAAAAAGGAGCGAAUUCCCAGGGGCCAGGGCAUCACGAGUCUAUUCACAUCAAACGGAAAUCAGAGAAAGAGAGAAAUUUCGAUAGGUUGAAGAUGCUGAGAGUAGCGGGGAGGGGGGUGUAUCCUCUCUCAUGGCGGUCUGCUUUGACCUCGACGGCGUCACUGUCCAAAAACUCAAAACACUUGUGAUCGUACCUCAUCAAUCUCUUCAUCCUUUCUCAAUCAAGUCAGAGGUAAAAUUAUUAGGGUUUCAUUCAUCUUAAUUUUUUUAUUUUCAUCAUUUCCAUUAGAUUUACGCUUUAUCGUCUUAUAAUUGCGCAAUUGAGAUUGGAUUGAGAAUAAAACUUUGUUAGGUGAGGUAAUGGAAACAGAUAUUUGGUAUUUUUCUAGUUGUUGUUUGGAUUGCUGAUUUUCAUAUCGUUUGAUUUUAAUUGAAUCCAUACAGUCCCCUUCAGUAUAUUUUCAGUCUAUUGUGACUUAAGUCACCAAAUUACAUACAAGGAUUUAAGUUUUCUGUUACGAUGUUGAUUGGGUUGGUGACCUUCUUUAAUAUAUAGGAUAGUUUCAUAUUAAAAUUGAUUAUUUAUUAUUAUUAUUUUUUUUUUCGGAAUUUAAUGAUUUUCGUUUUUCAUUUUAGUUGGAUCCGUGCAGUUCCAGUUAGGGCUGGACAUGGUCCGGUUCGGUUCGGUUCUAACGAGAAUCGAACCGACCCGAAAUUUUCGGGUAUUUAGUAAGUGGAACCGUCAGGUCCAAAUUUAAUUAUGGAACCGUUCGGGUUCGGUUCCAUUCGGUUCGGUUCGGUCCAGUUCCGUAUUAUAAUUAAAAUUUUUAAUAUAUACAAAGUUUUGUUAAUUUAAUUAAUGAUAUAUUUAAUAUUAGCUCUUACAAAAUAACGUAUUUCAAUUUUAUGUGUUUCACGUCUCUCUUUGCUGAAUUUUUCAUAAAUUUGAUUAUUAAAAUAACAGAAAGAGAAAGAUAGCGAUCUCAAAAUAAUUAAGAAAGAUGUUGUAGAGCUUUAAUUCGAUUUUCUCCGGUAGAAACGACACUACAGUAGAAUAAUAGAUUUAGAUAAAAUUGAGGUCAAUUUGAUUAAAUUGAUUUUGAACUGAAUAUUAGAAAUAGGAAAAUCAUAUUUUGUGAUUUGAACUAAAUUAACUAGUUAACAAAUUUAUUUAGAAAAAAUAAAAUAAUUUUAAUUAUUUAAAAUAAAUUAAUUAAAAGAAUUACGGAGAUUCGGUUCUUCGGGUCUUGGCCUAGAACCGAGAACCGAACCAUACCCGUCGGUUCUUAAUUCAAAUACCCGUUCGGGUAUUUAACUUGAGAAGAACCGUCGGGUUCGGUUCUGUUCGGUUCGGUCGGUUCGGUUCGGGAGUUUUGUCCAGCCCUAGUUCCAGUUCCUGUUCUUCAUUUUAAUUUUACAAACAUCAAAUUAGAGCGUGCCUAAUUUUUGCUUUCAUUUGGAAGAUAAAAUUCUGCAGGUCUUAGUAAAGCUGAUGAAUGUAACUUUUCCUAGUUUUUGGUGAUAAGUUAGAUGUAGAACUUUCACAUGUUGCUAACUUGUUAUUUCUCACUACGUCCUAGGUUUUAUUGAAAUUUUGUGAUCUUUCAAAACACAAUUGAUAUGUCAGUGAUAAUUGAUGUACACGAGUACAAGCAGCUGCGUAUGUGACAAAAAUGUCUUAUGGACAUAAUGAAGAUAUUACUGGUCUUGAGAAAAUUUAGUAACAGGCUUGUUUUGGUGCACGUUUAUGCGUAUUAUUUUCACAAUCAACUUGUCCAUUUCACCGCCUUCCCAUUUUUUUCCUUCUUAACUUUGCCUCAGUAAAAUUUAUUGCACUGUCACUGCCCAAGCAUGUCUUUUAAGGUUUAAUUUGUUUCUACAUCUCUUCUCCUUAGCAGUUUCUUUAUCUGAAUGUUAUUUUCUAAAUUGCUUCCAUUUUGCUUUCUAUAUUUCACUGGUCACAUGCAAUGGGGUCGGGUGUUGAAAAUGAUAUGAGCUCAACAAUAAGCAUAUUGUAACAGGGAACUAAAUAAUCUUAUGGGGUGAAAACUCUUUAUAUCUUCUAAAUUAAUAAUGAUAAUGGAUGCCAAUUAACUACCGAUAGAUAACCAUUGCAUGCACUUCACGUGCAAUACAUAUGUUGUCCUUAGAAUACAUCUUAUGAUAAUUUUUCAACCUUUGACAUACUCUUCCAGGUUUUCUUUCUGGCACCCAGGACAUGAGACGAGCCAAUCAAGAACCCGAGUUUAAAGAUUGUAUAUGAUGAGCACAACCACGAAUGCUAUCCACCGGGUGAUCCCAGCAAACGUGCAUUUGCUUACUUUGUUUUGACUGGAGGCAUGUUUGUCUAUGCCUCGUUGGCCCGUCUUCUGGUACUGAAAUUUGUUUUGAGCAUGCUGUCAGUAAAAAUGUCCUUGCUCGUGCUUCCCUUGAGGUAGACCUAUCUAGCAUUGAACUUCGGACAACUGUUACUGUCAAGUGGCAUGGAAAACCAGUUUUCAUUAGGCAUCGCACUGAAAAUGACAUCAAGUUGGCCAACAGCGUGGAUGUUGCCUCCUCUCGUGACCCACAAGAUGAUUCUGUAAGGUUAAGAAUCCUGAAUGGCUUGUGGUUGUUGGGGUGUGCACCCAUCUGGGGUGCAUCAAGAUGCCAAAUUCUGGUGACUUUGGUGGUUGGUUUUGCCCUUGCCAUGGGUCACAUUACGACAUAUCCGGUAGGAUUUGCAAAGGGCCUGCACCUUUAAAUCUGGAAGUGCAAACUUACACCUUCUUGGAUGAAGACAAAUUGAUUGGAUGAGAUAAUUUAAUUUUGUUGGAACAUAAUACACCCGAGCCUAGCCUGAUUGAAGGAGACUUUUUCUUUUUCUUUUUAUAUGCAUAUAAUUGUAAUUUAAUUCUCUCUCUUUCUCAUAUGCUUCACAUGUUUGAUUUUUUUAAUUGGCCAGGCACUUAGAACAAGGUCAUGCUAUUUUGAAUAAUACUGGCUUCUUGUUCGUCAUUUUUGCUUGGAAGUGUUUGUUUUAUGAUACUAUCAAUUAAUUUUCUCAAAGCUGAUCCGGC